rnacentral:rRNA from 1 species
GACGAACCGUGCGAACGUUGUUCGGAAUCACUGGGCUUAAAGGGCGCGUAGGCGGGCCAUCAAGUCCGGGGUGAAAUCCUCCGGCUUAACCGGAGAAUUGCCUUGGAUACUGGUGGUCUUGAGGGAAGUAGGGGUCUGCGGAACUUCCGUUGGAGCGGUGAAAUGUGUUGAUAUCGGAAGGAACGCCGGUGGCGAAAGCGGCGGACUGGGCUUCUUCUGACGCUAAGGUGCGAACGCUAGGGGAGCACACGGG